rnacentral:rRNA from 1 species
GGCGCAAGCCGGAGUUGGAUUUGUAGAGAAUGCUUCUGGGUAGCGGCCGGUCUAGGUUCCUUGGAACCGGACGGCAUAGAGGGUGAGAAUCCCGAAUGUAACUGGAUUGCACCCUCCACGUAGCUGCUUCGACGAGUCGAGAUGUUUGUUAGUGCAGCUCUAAAUGGGAGGAUACUUUCUUCUAAACCUAAAUACCGGCCAGAGACCGAUCGCCCACAAGUAGAGUGAAAAAAGGCCCAAAAGCACUUUGGAAAGAGAGUUAAAAAGCACGAAAAAUUUUUGAA